UCUUCGGUAGUACAAUGGUGAGUAUUCCCGCUUGCCACGCGGGAGACCGGGGUUCGAUUCUCCGCCGGGGAG